ACUCUUUUUUUUUGUCCUAAACAGUUCCACAUGGACUCAUAAUUCCACAUGGCUGGGGAGCCCUCAGGAAACUGACAACUGUGGGAGAAAAUGAGGAGGAGAAACAUCUAACAUAAAGGCUGUGAGGAGGGGAAGCUGACUCAACUGCUUCCUGGAUGGUGAACAAAGCGACAGAACUUUUGGCAGCUGACUUGGACUACGAGUUUACUUGAUGACAGCAGCCACAGGCUCAGAGGUGGAACAGAGAUAAAGAAAGAGCAUGAGCCUGAGGAUCCUGGAACUUCCAUGGUCUUGACUGCAUCCUCCAGAUUCACUUUGCCUAUGAGAAAAAUAAAACUCUAUUUUGUUUAA